rnacentral:rRNA from 1 species
UGGGGAAUAUUGCGCAAUGGGCGAAAGCCUGACGCAGCAACGCCGCGUGGGUGAUGAAGGCCUUCGGGUUGUAAAGCCCUGUCGCCCGGGACGAAUAAGCCGUUUAACAAACGGCCCUGACGGUACCGGGAGAGGAAGCACCGGCUAACUCUGUGCCAGCAGCCGCGGUAAUACAGAGGGUGCCAGCGUUGUUCGGAAUUAUUGGGCGUAAAGGGCGCGUAGGCGGCGCCGUGUGUCGGGUGUGAAAUCCCACCUCUUAAAGGUGGAAUUGCAUUCGAAACUACGGCGCUAGAGUACCGGAGAGGAUGGUGGAAUUCCUGGUGUAGAGGUGAAAUUCGUAGAUAUCAGGAGGAACACCGGUGGCGAAGGCGGCCAUCUGGACGGAUACUGACGCUGAGGCGCGAAAGCGUGGGGAUCAAACAG